UACGUAGGGGGCUAGCGUUGUCCGGAAUCAUUGGGCGUAAAGCGCGUGUAGGCGGCCCGGUAAGUCCGCUGUAAAAGUCGGGGGCUCAACCCUCGAAAGCCGGUGGAUACUGUCGGGCUAGAGUAUCGGAGAGGUUGGUGGAAUUCUCGGUGUAGAGGUGAAAUUCGUAGAUAUCGAGAGGAACACCGGCGGCGAAGGCGGCCAACUGGACGAAUACUGACGCUGAGACACGAAAGCGUGGGGAGCAAACAGG
rnacentral:rRNA from 1 species